GAGGUCAAAGUUAACCGGCACGUCGGCCAGGCUGCCGUUCGAGGGCGACGAAUCACCCGACGAAGCGUGGUUGUUGUUGUUGUAGUAUGGCGCGGACAGGUCGACGCUCAGGCCCAGGAAAGUGGCCUUGUCCUGCAAUUUCGAUUGGCGAAGGAGGGCGGCAAACCUCCUGUCAAAAUCCGAGGAGUUCUACGAGCUACUGGAAAAGCCAUGGGCAUUUCAUAAACAAAGGCGCCAGCGGUUCGCGCGCGCGCCUGCAACCCCCUUCUUACCCCUUUGUGCUCCCUCGCACCCAGGCCCCAGGCGGCGGUGGCGGUGGCCUCCAGCAUCUUUGUCUGCUUGUAGACUUGUGUAUCAGGCUCGAGGCGACGGCGGCGGUGGGCUGGCUGCGCAGGCGAGGUCAGAGGAAAAGGUCACGUUUCCGCGAAUCAUGGCGCGCGGAUAGUCAGGCCAACGACAAUAUUCCAGCCCGAGAAGCCGUGACCGCAGCUACGUCACUGGUGCAGAAUGGCCUUGCCGAUAAGCUCGCAGUCAAGCGCCUCCCGGGCAAGGCGGGCAGCGUCCUAGUGCGCCGAGUCCGAGCUGGCCAUUUUGCCCGCGAGCUCACGGGAACCCAGUGCGCCUUGCGCGCCCGACAGCCCAGGAUCACCACGUAGGCGCACCUUGCACAAGAGAAAGCAGCGGCGGGACGGGAGCUUGCAAGCGCCGAACUUCAGGUCUGCAGGCGUUUGAGGUCUGGACGCGCCUUCGACGGAAGUAGGUGAUAUUGUUGACGUGUAGAGAGUGAUGUGUACAAGACAGGGUAUACCGGAAGUG
rnacentral:lncRNA from 1 species